rnacentral:rRNA from 1 species
AACGAACGCUGGCGGCAUGCUUAACACAUGCAAGUCGAACGGGACGUCCGGGCCUAGUGGCGCACGGGUGCGUAAGGCGGGGGAACCUGCACUUAGGUUCGGAAUCAUUCACUGAAGGGGGUGCUAAUACCGGUUAAUGUAUUCGGACCAAAGAGGUGUCGCCUUUGGGUGGGGCCGCGUUGGCUUAGCUAGUUGGUAGGGUAAACGCCUACCAUGGCGUCGUUGCAUAGCUGGUCUGAGAAGAUGACCAGCCACGCUGGGGCUGAGGCACGGACCAGCACCGUACGGAAGGCAGCAGAAGAGAAUAUUAGACGCUGGACGAAAGCCUGAUCCAGCAAUGCCGCGUAAGUCAUGAAGGCGUUAGGGUUGUAAAGCCCUUUUAGCCGAAAUGAUAGUGACGGUACCGGGAGAAGAAGCACCGGCUAACUCCGUG